rnacentral:snRNA from 1 species
GUCCCCUAUGGGGUGACAUAUGAAAAAAUUGGAACGAUACAGAGAAGAUUAGCAUGGCCCCUGCACAAGGAUGACACGCUUUCCCGGAGUGGUGGACCUACGGGUCUCAAUAUUUAU